rnacentral:piRNA from 1 species
UCGGUAAUGAGCUCUUGUGGGCGGAAGA